CAUGGGUAGCAAACAGGAUUUGGUACCCUGGUAGUCCAUGCUAUAAACAAUGAAUAUUAGAUGUUUAAAUUUAACAUAAAAAGUUAACACGUUAAAUAUUUCGCCUGGGGAGUAAAACCGCGGGGUUGAAACUCAAAGGAAUUGACGGGAGCUUAUACUUACGGUGGAGCAUGUGGUUUAAUCCGAUAGUCCGCGUGGAAUCUUACCAGUUUUUGACAAUUUAAAGUUAUUAUUUAAAAACAGGUGUUGCAUGGCCGUCGUCAGCUUAUGUUUUGAAAUUUAAGAUAUAAGUACAACCCUUAUUUUAAUUUGCUAAUAUUUAAAAUAUAAAUUUUAUUUUAUAAUUAAAUAUGCACUAUUAAAAAAAUAAUUUAUUAUUAUUUUAAAGGAUGAAGAUAGGUCGUUAUGACCCUUAUAAACU
rnacentral:rRNA from 1 species